rnacentral:lncRNA from 1 species
UUCUUAUGCCUGUCUUUACUGCAAUCUUGGAACAUAAAUUCUUUCUGGAACAAUGUCAAAAGUCAUUCAUUUGGGGGGAACUCAUUCUCUACAAGCAAACUACAAAGCCUUUGCGUGAAGACAGAGGAUAUCUGGAAUUUGAUUGUAUUUCUCACACUGUCUAGUGCUAAUUACAACACACAGAUAUUCAAUCAAAACAUAUUUGCCACUGAAAAUAUCCUCUGGUCAUUUAUUUGGCUCAACGGACCUAUAUGGCCAUUCCCUCUUCCACAGUUGUAAAGACUUUGCCUAAUUUCUGGCAACUAUAGAAGUAGUGGAAUGAACCAGAAUAUGAAGGAUGAAAAGCAUCAGGGAGAAACACUUCUUCAAAUCUCUACUUGAAGAAGACUAAGUGUUCUUGUUUUUCUUUAAUAGAAAUACAUCCAGGAAAAAAAAAAAAAGAGAAAGUGAAGUAUGUUUUAACUAAACAAGGAAAUAUUAAAGAUCGCAUAGGAUAUAGGAAACAUUUUUCAUCCAGCGUCUGACUACAAUCAUGGUUAUGCCUUAAGAAAUUAACUUAGCAAUAGAGGAGAAGACAAGUUAUAUGUAGAAGAAGAUUAACAACAGGUUGAUACAAUCACCCAAACAAGAGCCAUGAUAAGAUGUGUUUGCUUUCUCUUCACCUUCCACCAUGAUUGUAAGUUUCCUGAGGCCUCCCAGCCAUGCUUCCUGUACAGCCUGAGAAACUAUUAAUACAGCAAAUCUCAGAGAAAUAUCUUGUCCACUGUCAAACAGUUGAUAAGAAGCCAAACCUGACUUUGAGCCCAGAACUUGGAUCAUUCUCAGUGCUGUUUGGAGAAGAGUCUUUAGAAGUGCAAUGGUGGAGAAUGGAGAUCACUUAAGAUACUACUGAAAUUCUCCAAGCUGCUAGAAGUAAAGGUGGUAAGAUGUAAUUGAAUCUUAGGUAUAUUUUGAAAUUUGGUGAUUGAUUCAAUGUAGAAAGUGAAAGAAAGAUGUUUCAAGGACCACACCAGCUUUGGAGCCUGAAUAACUGGUAUAAUGGAGUUGGCAUGUAUUGAGUUGGGGAGACUGUGAAAAGAGCACGUUUGGAACGAGUAUUGAGAGUUUUUCUUUGGACAUGCUAAUUCUAAGAUGCCUAAUAGACUGUCAAGCAAUUUUAGUAGUCAUUUGGGUAAAAAGUCUAAUACAAGGAAUAAGUCUCAAUUGGAAAUAUAAAUUUGUAAUCACCAAAUUUACAGAUGAUUUGUAAAGACAUGAGAGUGCAUAUAAUUUAUUCAGACAGCAUAGAUAGAGAAGAUGUGGAAACCAUACCAAAAUUUAAAGUUGGUGAAUAAAGGGGGACCAGCAUUUUUAAAAAAAUUAAAAUAAUUGAUUAGAAGAAAAAAUAAGAGAAAACAAAUUUCCUGGAUAAAAUAAUUGAUAAAGUGAUGGCAUCUUAGUUUGAGUUCCCUUGAAAGCAGAGCCUGAGAUAAGAACUGGGAAAGGAUAGUUUAUUUGGGACAUUAUCAUGAAGCCAGAAUGAGGGAAUGGCAAGAAUGAUACAGGGAAAGAUCAACAUAGAGGUGCAUUAUUAAUCUGGUUACCACUGUGGAAACUAGGGCUUCUCAGAAUUAUCAAAAGCUCCCCUUCCCCAGUUCCCAUUGUCCACUGAUGGAGGAUUGCUCUCUGGAACAUUGACUUCCCUAUCUUACCAGGCUUCUUAAGUACAUGGGCUCUUAUGGCUUCAUGAAGGCCCUGAGAAUGAAAGCAGAAUAACAGCUGGAUUUAGGUUGAGGUGAAAUAGUUCCAGAAUAAGUCUGAACUUUCAAAGCAUUGUCUAAUGUUGCUGCAGCUGAAAUCAGAGCUGGCAAGGGAAUGGGAUGUGGGGAUAGGUCAUGUGACACCAGGGGAAAUUACUGAAAUAUCUGACUCAAAGUAGCUAAUAUUAGCAUUUUACCCCCACAGCCACAGUGAUGGAUUUAUGGCUGGCUGUAUGACACAACCUGAGCCAGAGUCUUUCUCUAAUUUUGUUUUAAUUUGUCCUGUAAGGAAAUUACCUUUGCUUUCUAGUUGUUUGUUUAUGAGUUUGUAAACUCUUGGCCAACUAAAACCAUUCCCCUAUUACAUGGAAAUCACUAUAGCCAUAGGAAAAAAAAUCAAGAAAAGAGAAUAAAGAGACAACCGCAAAUUGGGAGAAAA